rnacentral:rRNA from 1 species
AUGAACGCUAGCGACAGGCUUAACACAUGCAAGUCGAGGGGCAGCGGGGAUGUAGCUUGCUAUAUCUGCCGGCGACCGGCGCACGGGUGAGUAACACGUAUGCAACCUGCCCAUUGCAGGGGGAUAAGCAGAAGAAAUUCUGUCUAAUACCGCCUAAUAUGAGAUUGAGGCAUCUCGGUUUCAUUAAAGAUUUAUCGGCAAUGGAUGGGCAUGCGGCGCAUUAGCUAGUUGGCGGGGUAACGGCCCACCAAGGCGACGAUGCGUAGGGGUUCUGAGAGGAAGGUCCCCCACACUGGUACUGAGACACGGACCAGACUCCUACGGGAGGCAGCAGUGAGGAAUAUUGGUCAAUGGUCGGAAGACUGAACCAGCCAAGUAGCGUGAAGGAUGAAGGUUCUAUGGAUUGUAAACUUCUUUUAUACGGGAAUAAAACACCUUACGUGUAGGGUCUUGUAUGUACCGUAUGAAUAAGCAUCGGCUAACUCCGUG